UUGCGUGAGUUACACGCUUUUGAUUUGGUUUAUUCCAUCAAAAUAUAUAUGAACAUCACAACUCUAGUAUAAUUAUCAUGACGAAGUCUUCAAGAACUUUAUUAAGAUUGUGAGAAUCUUUGAAUCUACUAUCAAAAAGCAUUUUAGAACAAAUAUUGGCUACCAAACCAAAACGUACUCAUUCCAAUUCACAUUUGCUUUCUCGGUAUUUAAUUGACCACAUGCAUACAAAUUUAAGCAACCUUUCUCUUAGCUUUCCGUCCCUGUCAGUAUUAAAGAGACCACAAAACUUAUAAAUUUCCAAGAACCUUCCAAGUCUUUGUGCAGAAACGGAAGAACAGUGAAAUAAAACAUGAAUUUAUUGGGUCCCCUUCCCAUGUUCUAUUUUUCUUGUUCCGAAGUGGCCCCAGUUCUUUUCGUGUUGGUUGUUUCAUUGUGAGCUCAUGUUUUUUUUUUUCUCUUCAUUUUUUUUAAGAAAUUAAUAGACGUGGUGGAAUCGCAUUGAUUAUAAUAUAUGUGCUUCUCUCUAUGAAUCAGAGUGAAAAUUAUGCAUUUCAAAUUAGGUUAAAAUAAAAUAUCGUUUGUAUGUUAAAAAUAAAAUCUUAUAUGGCAGAUUGUCUGCCCUCUUAGUUGUGGUGCCCUUCCAUGCCCUCAUAUUUUGUGCGGUCACGAUUAAGUCACGUCAACAUUUUAUAUUAAUUUUUUAAUAGAAAUAAUAAGACAAAAAAUAAUAAAAAACAUAAAAUAUUAACGUGGUUUAUUCGUAACCGCAUAAAUAGAAGGGCAUGGAAGGGCACCACAAUCUGCCUCCUAUUGGUUUGGGGUUAGUUUGUGGGAUUGAAUUAUUGAACCAAGUCAAAAGGCAAAAUAUAACAAUGAUCUGAGAUAUGAACCCGACAUAUUCCCAGUGGACAUGCCUUCCUUCCCACUCGGUUUCAAACGACUCAGUCAGAGUGUUCAAGGGGUUCGUCCUACCUCUUUCAUUUAUAGGAGAUUCAAAGUAAUCAAAUCCAUUGAUCAAUUAUCUUUCCUUGCUUGAUGGAACAAUGCUUUUCAAUUAUCAAAUGAAAUGGGAUCAACCAACUAGAUUCAUUAUUUCUCCAUACCGUCAAUGUCUUUGGGAGCAAAUGGUAUGAGUGGUUAUAAGAUCGGGUAAUGGGUUAUUAAGGGACUAUCCAUCUUACGAGUGCAACUUCUUAUCACCCAAAGUUUGAUUAGCAGAAUAAAAAACCUUGCAACAGUAGUCCAAUGUCAUCUUGCAACUUAUACACUUUCACUCACCCAAAUCUAGUAGGAAAAUGCACUUAUUUUUUUAUGGGUUGACUAAUAUGCUCUUUUUAAGUGUUUAGUUGUCAUGAAUAAACUUGAUAUAUGUUUAAUUUUGUGAGUCAUUAUUGAGUUAGUCUACUCAUUAAUUAUUCACAUCAGUUUAUUUUUAUUUUAUUUUAUUAAAUUGUGACAAAUAUCCCUUUAUUUAUAUCAUUAUCUUUUACUUAAUUUUAGGAUUAAAUAUACAGGUUGAAUGUUGUUUCUCCUUAUCUCUAUUUUUUCUUCUACCACAUAACAUGUCUGUGUAAUCUAUGUUGUAAGUAUGGAUUUAUAAAUGUAUGGAAGAUGAAAUCUCUUUGAACUAUUUUCAUGGAUGAUAGGUACAUUAAGUUUUAUUUAUUUUCAUAUAUACCCAUAUUACAUGUUAAAUGUAUUUAUCAACAUAUGGUAUAGGUAUCAUAUAUGAUGACAUAUAAAUUUUCUUUUAACUAUUUUUCAUUGAAAGAGAUUAUAUUUUCAUAUUCUUAAGUUCGAUUAUCGCCACAUGCGAAUUUGAACUAUAUUAUUGCUAACUCAUUGUGAGGCUAAGCCCACCUUCUUCCCUUGGUAUAGAUAGUAUCAUUUGUUCUAAACAAAAAUUCUAAUUAAAAAUUCAAGUAAAGUUGCAUAAAAUUAAGAAAUUUAAUUAAAACUGAAAAAUAGAAAAACUAGACUAAAUCCAAUAGCAGCUCGAAAUUUUGAACCUAAAUCAAAGUAUCCCUAAUUUCGUUGUACCAUCCUUCU
rnacentral:lncRNA from 1 species